rnacentral:rRNA from 1 species
UACGAAGGUGGCAAGCGUUGUCCGGAUUUACUGGGCGUAAAGAGCGCGCAGGCGGUCGUCCAAGUCGCGUGUGAAAGCCCCCGGCUCAACUGGGGAGGGUCACGCGAUACUGAUCGACUCGAAGGCAGGAGAGGGUAGUGGAAUUCCCGGUGUAGUGGUGAAAUGCGCAGAUAUCAGGAGGAACACCGAUGGCGAAGGCAGGUCUCUGGGCCGAUACUGACGCUGAGGAGCGAAAGCGUGGGGAGCGAACAGG